rnacentral:sRNA from 2 species
AUUAAUAGAACUUUUAAUAUAAAAAUGGAGCGGGAGAACCAAUUUAUGGGGUGAGUCCGGCAUGUCCGGUAGGGUUAAGCUCUUUCGACCCGAAUCCGUCAGCUAAUCUCGUAAGCGUUGGAAGAGAAGGUGA